rnacentral:rRNA from 1 species
UAAACGAUGUCGACUUGGAGGUUGUGCCCUUGAGGCGUGGCUUCCGGAGCUAACGCGUUAAGUGGACCGCCUGGGGAGUACGGCCGCAAGGUUAAAACUCAAAUGAAUUGACGGGGGCCCGCACAAGCGGUGGAGCAUGUGGUUUAAUUCGAUGCAACGCGAAGAACCUUACCUACUCUUGACAUCCACAGAACUUGGCAGAGAUGCCUUGGUGCCUUCGGGAACUGUGAGACAGGUGCUGCAUGGCUGUCGUCAGCUCGUGUUGUGAAAUGUUGGGUUAAGUCCCGCAACGAGCGCAACCCUUAUCCUUUGUUGCCAGCACGUAAUGGUGGGAACUCAAGGGAGACUGCCGGUGACAAACCGGAGGAAGGUGGGGAUGACGUCAAGUCAUCAUGGCCCUUACGAGUAGGGCUACACACGUGCUACAAUGGCAGAUACAAAGUGAAGCGAACUCGCGAGAGCAAGCGGACCACAUAAAGUCUGUCGUAGUCCGGAUUGGAGUCUGCAACUCGACUCCAUGAAGUCGGAAUCGCUAGUAAUCGUAGAUCAGAAUGCUACGG